rnacentral:rRNA from 1 species
GAUGAACGCUAGCGGCAGGCCUAACACAUGCAAGUCGAGGGGUAGAACACUUCGGUGUUUGAGACCGGCGCACGGGUGCGUAACGCGUAUGCAAUCUACCUUGUACAGGGGAAUAGCCCAGAGAAAUUUGGAUUAAUACCUCAUAGUAUCUUUGCCUGGCAUCGGGUGAUUAUUAAAGUUCCAUCGGUAAAAGGUGAGCAUGCGUCCUAUUAGCUAGAUGGUAAGGUAACGGCUUACCAUGGCAACGAUAGGUAGGGGUCCUGAGAGGGAGAUCCCCGACACUGGUACUGAGACACGGACCAGACUCCUACGGGAGGCAGCAGUGAGGAAUAUUGGACAAUGGGGGCAAGCCUGAUCAAGCCAUGCCGCGUGCAGGAAGACGGUCCUAUGGAUUGUAAACUGCUUUUGUACGGGAAGAAACACUCCCUCGUGAGGGAGCUUGACGGUACCGUAAGAAUAAGGAUCGGCUAACUCCGUGCCAGCAGCCGCCGUAACAC